rnacentral:rRNA from 1 species
AUUGAACGCUGGCGGCAGGCCUAACACAUGCAAGUCGAACGAGUGGCGGACGGGUGAGUAAUGUCUGGGAAACUGCGCGAUGGAGGGGGAUAACUAGUGGAAACGGUAGCUAAUACCGCAUACAAUCGGAUGUGCCCAGGUGGGAUUAGCUAGUCGGUGGGGUAAUGGCUCACCAAGGCGACGAUCCCUAGCUGGUCUGAGAGGCUGACCAGCCACACGGGAACUGAGACACGGUCCAGACUCCUACGGGAGGCAGCAGUGGGGAAUAUUGCACAAUGGGCGCAAGUCUGAUGCAGCCACGCCGCGUGUGUGAAGAAGGCUUUCGGGUUGUAAAGUACUGUCAUCGGGGAGGCGUUACUCGCAGAAGAAGCACCGGCUAACUCCGUGCCAGCAGCCGCGGUAAUAC